UACGAAGGGGGCUAGCGUUGCUCGGAAUCACUGGGCGUAAAGGGUGCGUAGGCGGGUCUUUAAGUCAGGGGUGAAAUCCUGGAGCUCAACUCCAGAACCGCCUUUGAUACUGAGGAUCUUGAGUUCGGGAGAGGUGAGUGGAACUGCGAGUGUAGAGGUGAAAUUCGUAGAUAUUAGGAAGAACACCAGUGGCGAAGGCGGCCAACUGGCCCGAUACUGACGCUCAUGUGCGAAAGCGUGGGGAGCAAACAGG
rnacentral:rRNA from 1 species